AACGCCAGCAGUACGCCGUCACUAUAACCUAAUAUGGUCUACCCAAGGUUGGGAGCCACACACGGUUAACAAUUGCCGCCAGGAAAAAUCGGAAGUAACGAGAAGAGAGGAGUAGACAGGAAAGAUUUAAAGUGAGAGAGAAAGACGAAGAUGUGGGGAGAGAGAGACAGGAAAAGGCGACUGCCGAUUUCCCCUGGGUGGGUCAGCCCAGGGGUGCCGUCUACGUGAAGCCAGGGCCAAAGGGGUGUGUUGCCUCUGCCGGGGGGCCUUAAAGGUCCAAUCACCCAGCGUCGGCUCAACCCCCAGGAUCCCCUUUUCCCCGGACACGGCAAAGCCACGCACGGCUAGGCGUGGGAGGGGGUCGAAACCCCCCCGUUAGCUCGGGUCCGUGGUGUCGCUACACACCAAACGCCUGCUUGCGCAGACGCCCCUGCGGGG